rnacentral:RNase_P_RNA from 1 species
GAAGUGUUUCAUCCAGUCGCUGUCGGCUCCGCCGAUGGAGGAAAGUCCGGGCUCCGCAGGGCAUGGUGCAGGAGAAACUCCUGUGGGUGCGAACCCAAGGAAAGCGCCACAGAAAAUAUACCGCCCGGGAAACCGGGCAAGGGUGAAAAGGCGAGGUAAAAGCUCACCGGACGCGCGGCGACGCGCGUGCUUGGCAAGCCCCACCAGGAGCAAGAUCGAAUAGGGGAGGAUGAGGCGGCCCGCCGACUCCCGGGUACGAUCGCGCAGAUAAAUGACUGGACAAGACAAGACCCGGCUUACGAAACGCUUCCCAA